UUAGUGGUAGUAAGUAUAAAUGACUCAGGUGUCCCUUCUAAAGUUACUGGAUCUAGUGAGUUUUAGUGGUAUCUAGUUGAAGAUGCAAGUGUUGGCAGUGGGUUUAUCACUGUUUGGACUAUAGGGUCUUCAUCCAAGAAUAAUAACUGAAGGUUUUGAAGCUGCAAAAGAAAAGGCACUCCAAGUUUUGGAACAAGUCAAAGUAAGCAAAGAGAUGGACAGAGAAACACUCAUCGAUGUGGCCAAGACAUCUCUGCGAACUAAAGUUCAUGCUGAACUUGCAGACGUCUUGACAGAGGCUGUAGUGGACUCCAUCUUGUCCAUUAGGAAAAAAGACGAGCCCAUUGACCUCUUCAUGGUUGAGAUCAUGGAGAUGAAGCAUAAAUCUGAAACCGAUACAAGCUUAAUCAGAGGGCUGGUUUUGGAUCAUGGGGCUCGGCAUCCUGAUAUGAAGAAAAGAGUAGAAAAUGCCUACAUCCUCACGUGCAACGUGUCCUUAGAGUACGAGAAAACAGAAGUGAAUUCUGGGUUUUUUUACAAGAGUGCAGAAGAGAGAGAAAAACUAGUAAAGGCUGAAAGAAAAUUCAUUGAAGAUAGAGUUAAAAAAAUCAUAGAACUGAAAAAGAAAGUCUGUGGUGACUCAGAUAAAGGAUUUGUCGUUAUUAAUCAAAAGGUAAGAACUUAACAUUAUGAAUCAGUCUUUCUUAUGUUUGAGGUGAAGGCUAUUGAAGAAUGUUUGUUUUUAUUCAGGGGAUUGACCCCUUUUCUUUAGAUGCCCUUGCGAAAGA
ensembl:processed_transcript